rnacentral:lncRNA from 1 species
AGGGGGGAAAAAUCGCAUACUUCCACAAAUUCUUUUGUUACCAUUCAAAAAUUGCCAGUUAGAAAUUGUAUUUUUUAACUCAUUUAAGUUUCUUUAGGUGCUUUAUUUAUUUUAAUUUUUCUAGCUCUAAAAGGGGUAACAUUCAGCACUUUUAUACUCUUGGUAUCCCUUUCCCUCUUUAACUCAAUUAACUCAAAAGUCUUUAGAUAUUAAGCCACUUUAGCGUAUACAUAACAACUAUUAAGAUUGUCCACAGUAUCUUUCAGCCAAAUGGCAGUUUCCUUGUUUGCAUUUACUCUUAUGAGAUUGUUACCUUGCUUUUUUGAGUUCAAAUUAUGAAAAUACAUUUGCUCCAGCCAUUCCUUUUAAGUCUAUAUAGCUUUGUUUCAAAUGUUUCUAAUAAACAUUUUGUUAGAUCCUGUUUUCUGAUCCAUUCUAUCAUCUUCUGUUUUAUGGGAAAGUUCAUCUCAUUCACUUUUAGUUAUGAUUUUUGGGCAUUUCCCUCAAAUUUAUUCUUUUCCUUCUUUGUUCCUUGCCCUCUCUUUACAUAGAAGAUGGGCUUGGAUGAGCAGUGUACUGACAAUGUUCUAAAAUUGAUACAGCUUUCAGUUUUCUUUCCUUUACCCAAAUCCUAAUCCAAUUCUCACCCUUUUUCUUUCUUUCCUUUUAAAUCUUAGUUCAUGAUUCCUGUUCAGAACUUAAAGUUUUAUUUUUCUUAUGAAUAAUUCCUCCUUAGAACUAUCUCUUCCUCAUCCUUUACUUUCUCCUCUCCCCUUUUCCUGGUGAGCUAUUUCUACAGCAAAAAUUGUUGCUCCUUGGACCAAAUUAAAUCAAAAUUUAAGAUCUAACUGAUGUCUGGUCCCCCAUUACAUCUUCCCUGGCCUCCUCCCCCAUUAGGUGAUUCUUUUCUUUACUUCUAGUGUAUCUCCUCCAUUCUCUUUCCUUUCAAAACUUAACACCUACUCCCAGGUCACCCAGCUUAGUUGACAAUCUCUUAAGAUCUCAGAUAACUUUACACUUCUUAAGGUCCUCACCUUCCCAUAAUAGAAUGCAAGACACUUCAACCUUUGAAAAACUUCUAAUUUGCUCACCUGUAUUUAUCUUUUUACUCCCAUGUUAGUAUUACAAAGUCUGAUCUUUUCAUCAAGUCUGUUUAGACAUACCCUAUUUCAUUAAAUAUUUUUUUUUCCUCCUAUAUUAUAUUUAACUUGUUGCAUUAGUUAUUCUUGAGUAUAGGCUUUAUCUUUUGCUUUUUAUAUUAUUGUAUCUCAUGCUCUUUGCAUCUUUUUUCCACAAAAGCAUGCUCUUCCCUUUCCCCACCUCAGAGAGUAACUUUUUUCCCCUUCUAGGAUCUUGUUCAUUAUGCAAUUCCCAAACUGUUAAAAAGGAAGGGGAUAGGCAGAAGGAGUUUAAGACUUGGAUGUGGUUCAAACCAAAUGCCCUCCUACAAAUUAGGAGUUAACUGAAAAGAUACACAUCAAGACAACCACUUAAAACUCAACUAAUCACUUUUAUUAAACAUUCAAAAGAAAAGUUCACACUAAAGAGUUUUAUUCCCAAUUAUACUAUGCUACAGACUACUGAAAAAGAGCAGCUUAUACUUACUGAUUAUCGGCUUUAGCCCUUCUUGACUUUUCCACACUGAUUGUUUUUAAAUUGACAAUCUGAAAAUCACCUAAGUUUUUAAGAAAUCAACUGUACUGAAUCAGCUUUUCAAUCCACUUUCUAAUUUUUCUGGAGUUAAGGCAAUUAGCUCAAACCUCUCUUGUCCUAUCUAUAUGCUUAAAUACAUUUUUUCAGGAAAAAUAUCUAAAACUGUCAGCAGUUAAAAAACAGUAUUUAAAUUGCCUUUUCAUCCCUUGAAAUUUUAAGUUGUAUAAAACAUCUUUCUAACUAGGGUAAUUCAGCAAAAAUUUCAGAUCACAACUCAACUUUUGUUACACAAGAGAAAUCCAGUGAUGAUACACAAGACUUUAUCAUUUGUAUCCUACUAGACCAGGAAACUGAUAUUUUCACAUCUAUUAGGAGACAUUUGCUAUUUCACAUGUUUUAUUUUCCUUGAUUUUUAGGCUUUAUUCUGAACCUGUCUCAUUUUCUUAUGAUACUGGUUAAAAAAAAAAUAAAUGUAACAGUUGUUGCAUCAACUUAUAAGAAUUACAAAGUUAAAAUGAAUGUCUCUUGAAUUCACCUCAUUCCACCCCAAUAAGUCAGUUAGGAAUUUUCCAAAAUAAAUCCUUUUCCUUUUUCUCUUAGGAAGAUAACAUGAUCACCAUCAACAUCCUUAUUUCACAUUUCUAUCCUGAUCUUCCAAUAAGAUACCAGAACUUGAGUUCUUGCCUAGGUAUAUAAUUUUUUAUAAGAUACCAAAACUUGAGUUCUCGCCUAGGUAUAUAAUUUUUUAUAAGAUACCAGAACUUGAGUUCUUACUCAGGUAUAUAAUUUUUUUAAUCAAAUAACUACAACUGAGGCAGAACUGUUUAAAAACUACUCAAUAAUCUUUCAAAACUUUGAGUUAGAAAUCACCUUGGAAAACAAGAAACAUCUUCAAAAAGCUUAGAAAUAAAAAAAAAAGGCCCUAAUUCACAGCAGCAUGAGAACUGCUCUUCUAAAUAUGAUCCCUACAAUCUUUGUGAAUAAUGAACAGUAACAUGAUCGUUCUCUAAUUCUCUUAGACCGGAUUAAUAAAUAGGGAUCUGCUCAGUCCCAACCAGCAAGACCUCAAGAAUCCAAAGCCACUUUUCUCCGCUUUUGUCACCUGAUCAUCUUUCAGCACGGGGAAUGUGGAGGUUUCCUGCUUAACCGCUGCGUAGUGCAGGGAAAUAAAUGAGAGUUUUGGGAUAAGUUCGGAUACUAUCUGGAUCUGUCAACAAUCCCGAGUUUUUGUUUGUUGCCGUUUUUUUGCUUUGUUUCGGUUGGUUGGGUUUUUUUUUUUUUUUUUUUUUUUGUAAAUGCGCGCUUCCCGGCCUCACUGGUUCUGCACGAUUUUCCCGUAGCCCCCCCGCCCGGCAUCAUAGUCCUGCCGGUACUCGUCGCGCACCUGGCCCCCGGACCGCCCGCGCCCGUACUGCCGGCCUUCCCGGAAGCCCGCGUCCCAGUCCGUGCGGAUGAUGCGGUCGUCCAGGCGGGUGCCGUUGAUGUAGCGCAUGGCGUUUUCGGCGUCGGCGCGGCAGUAGUACUCCACGAAGCAGAAGCCGCACGCCGUCUUCUUCACUUUGUCCAGGCCCAUGAUGAUCUUCUUGAUGUCGCCGCUUUUGCUGAAGAGUUCGUAGAUCUGCUCCUCCGUGGUGUAAAAGGACAGGUUGCCCACGUACAGAGUGCAGCUUUUCUUUAACAACUUUUCUUGGUCGUCCAUUUUCCCUCGGAAGUGCUGGUCGCGGUACCAGCCCAGCUCCACGUAGGAAUCGCUCUGCAGCGCGCUCAGGAGUCCCCCCGACAUGAUGGCGGCGAUACCGGGCGGGCGGAGGGAGAACCGGCGGGGAAGCCCAGAAACCGCAGCAAAGCGCAGCGGGCGCUCCGGAAAGCAACUUGGUCCUGACUGGCAGCGGCCUUCCGGAGGGCGCCGGAAGCCUCUCUAGCUGGGACCAAUCACGGGGAGCGCCGAACCGGAAGUGGUCGGCUGAUUAUCUCUCGCCCGUUCUAGCGAAAGAGUCGCGACUUUAAUGCCCCCUACUGUCGGAUGGUUUUCUUCAGCCGAGACCUUCUAGUGAAAAGUAAUAAAGGAAGUGGGGCUGGACUAGUUAGUUAUGUCAUGGAAAAAGCCGGGGGUCUUUUUCCUUUCCCGGCGCCCCUUUUCAGUUCGCCUUUGGGAAUUCCUCCUAAACCAUUUCCGUUUGGGCGGCACGAAUAAGAGAACCAGGCGGUCCCUGCCCUCAGGGAGCUGACGUUCUGAGAUUCCGUGAUUCAAUUACGCGGAACGCGGGCCGGGCCUGCGUAAUAAGGGAACAAGCGCAGGAGCUCUGGCUCUGGUUCUGACCCCAACGCUCAGUUUCUUCAUCUGUAAAAUAGGCAUGUAGCGCUUCUCUCCAAGCCCUUUGUGAAGAGGUAGAUUUGUAGUUAUCGUUAGGGUUUUUACCGAUGGGGGCGAUUGUGAAGGAAGCCCAGGAAAAAGAAAACAGCAUCAAAGGCUCCUUAGGAGGCCGUCCCUUAGUGAAUCUGGCUACAGUCAGGAGCGGAAGCGGAAGCGGAAGCGUCCAAUUUCUUCUCUUUCGUGAGGUGUUUCCUAUGCAGCCUCCAAACGGGGCCUGUCUUAAAAAGUGAGGCUGUACUAAACUCAGUAUUCACUAAUAUGGAACACCAAAGCACCAAUUAAGUAGGUUCUCUAUAUGCAUGUUACUAUUGAUUGUAAUGGUUAGCUAGAUUGACAUAGAGGCAGGAAGAUUCAUGUUCUUGAGUUCAAAUCUAACUUCAGACACUUACUAGCUGUGUCCCCCCAGGGAAAAUUACUUAACCAUGUUUGUCUCAAUUUUCUGUUCUGUAAAAUGAGCUGGAGAAGGAAAUGGCAAACCACUGCUGUAUCUUUGCCAAGAAAACCCCAAAUGAGAUCUUGGAGAGUCUGAACUUGAACUACUGAACAACAAAAAGACCACCUUCAAGUCAGUCUUCUUUAGGCCACUAUGAAGAAAUCUAUUUGGAGUCCUCUAAAACUCAACAUGGGAAUGAUAUCUGGGGCAGAACUAGGGUGGAUGAACAUUGGAGGAGCUGAAUCAUGCUACUGCUGCUGCGGCUGCUGCUGCUGCUGUUGCUGCUGCUACUACUAUUGCUACUGCUGUUGUUGCUACUACCCCUGCUGCUGUUGCAGCUAUUACUACUACUACUGCCAGUACUGUUGCUGCUACUACCCCUGCUGCUGCUGCUGCUGCUGCUGCUGCUACUGCUAUUACUACUAUUACUGCCACUGCUGUUGCUGCUAUUACCAAUGCUGCUGCUGCUGCUGCUCCUCCUACUAUACCUACCUCAUCCUCUAAGAGGAGUAAUUCUCUAGUUGUAUUGAUAAGGGAAGUUUCCUUACCUGGGAUUUACCUAUACCAAUAAAAUCAUAAAUCUAG